GCCAGCAACUAUAUCACCCUGCAGCUCUCAACUGGCUACCCACUAAAACUAAGCAGGGUUGAACCUGGUCAGUACCUGGAUGAGAGACCUCCUGUGAAGCUAUGGAUUCUGCUGGAA
rnacentral:rRNA from 1 species